rnacentral:misc_RNA from 1 species
UUUCCGUAGGUGAACCUGCGGAAGGAUCAUUAGUGAACGCCCUCACGGGCUCAUCACUGUUCCACACCUCUGUGAACGGUGCCCUCCGGGGCUAUUUUACAAACCUGGUGUACUGAACGUUAUAUAUCACAACAAAACAAAACUUUCAACAACGGAUCUCUUGGCUCUC